rnacentral:rRNA from 1 species
GACGAACGCUGGCGGCGUGCUUAACACAUGCCAGUCGAACGGUGAAGCGAGUGCUUGCACUCGUGGAUCAGUGGCGAACGGGUGAGUAACACGUGAGUAACCUGCCCAUCACUCUGGGAUAAGCACUGGAAACGGUGUCUAAUACUGGAUAUGACCAACCCUUGCAUGGGGUGUUGGUGGAAAGAUUUAUCGGUGAUGGAUGGACUCGCGGCCUAUCAGCUUGUUGGCGGGGUAAUGGCCCACCAAGGCGACGACGGGUAGCCGGCCUGAGAGGGUGACCGGCCACACUGGGACUGAGACACGGCCCAGACUCCUACGGGAGGCAGCAGUGGGGAAUAUUGCACAAUGGGCGAAAGCCUGAUGCAGCGACGCCGCGUGAGGGAUGACGGCCUUCGGGUUGUAAACCUCUUUCAGCAGGGAAGAAGCGAAAGUGACGGUACCUGCAGAAGAAGCACCGGCUAACUACGUG